rnacentral:rRNA from 1 species
UACGUAGGUGGCAAGCGUUGUCCGGAUUUACUGGGCGUAAAGGGCGUGCAGGCGGUCUGUUAAGUUCAGGGUGAAAGCUCCCGGCUCAACUGGGAGAGGUCCUUGGAUACUGGCAGACUUGAGGGAGGUAGAGGAGAGUGGAAUUCCCGGUGUAGUGGUGAUAUGCGUAGAUAUCGGGAGGAACACCAGUGGCGAAGGCGGCUCUCUGGGCCACUACUGACGCUGAGAAGCGAAAGCAUGGGGAGCGAACAGG